AAGGAUCAUUAUUGAAAACAAGGGUGUCCAAUUUAACUUGGAACCCAAACUUCUCAAUUCUAACUUUGUGCAUCUGUAUUAAUGGCGAGCAACUUCGGUUGUGAGCCUUCACUUACAAAACACUAGUCUAUGAAUGUAAAAUUUUUAUAACAAAUAAAAACUUUCAACAACGGAUCUCUUGGCUCUCGCAUCGAUGAAGAACGCAGCGAAAUGCGAUACGUAAUGUGAAUUGCAGAAUUCAGUGAAUCAUCGAAUCUUUGAACGCAUCUUGCGCUCUCUGGUAUUCCGGAGAGCAUGUCUGUUUGAGUGUCAUGAAUUCUUCAACCCAGUCUUUUCUUGUAAUCGAUUGGUGUUUGGAUUCUGAGCGUUGCUGGCGUUUGCCUAGCUCGUUCGUAAUACAUUAGCAUCCCUAAUACAAGUUUGGAUUGACUUGGCGUAAUAGACUAUUCGCUAAGGAUUCGGUGGAAACAUCGAGCCAACUUCAUUAAGGAAGCUCCUAAUUUAAAAGUCUACCUUUUGAUUAGAUCUCAAAUCAGGCAGGAUUACCCGCUGAACUUAA
rnacentral:rRNA from 1 species